AGGACGAACGCUGGCGGCGUGCCUAACACAUGCAAGUCGAGCGAGGAGAUCCUUCGGGAUGAUCCUAGCGGCGGACGGGUGAGGUAACACGUGGGCAACCUGCCUCAUAGAGAGGAAUAGCCUUCCGAAAGGGAGGUUAAUACCUCAUAACAUUGCAGUUUCGCAUGGAACAGCAAUUAAAGGAGUAAUCCGCUAUGAGAUGGGCCCGCGGCGCAUUAGCUAGUUGGUGAGGUAACGGCUCACCAAGGCGACGAUGCGUAGCCGACCUGAGAGGGUGAUCGGCCACAUUGGGACUGAGACACGGCCCAGACUCCUACGGGAGGCAGCAGUGGGGAAUAUUGCACAAUGGGGGAAACCCUGAUGCAGCCAACGCCGCGUGAGUGAUGACGGCCUUCGGGUUGUAAAGCUCUGUCUUCAGGGACGAUAAUGACGGUACCUGAGGAGGAAGCCACGGCUAACUACGUGCCAGCAGCAGC
rnacentral:rRNA from 1 species